AGAGUUUGAUCAUGGCUCAGAACGAACGCUGGCGGCAGGCUUAACACAUGCAAGUCGAGCGCCUCGCAAGAGGAGCGGCAGACGGGUGAGUAACGCGUGGGAAUCUACCUUUUGCUACGGAAUAACUCAGGGAAACUUGUGCUAAUACCGUAUGUGCCCUUUGGGGGAAAGAUUUAUCGGCAAAGGAUGAGCCCGCGUUGGAUUAGGUAGUUGGUGGGGUAAUGGCCUACCAAGCCGACGAUCCAUAGCUGGUCUGAGAGGAUGAUCAGCCACAUUGGGACUGAGACACGGCCCAAACUCCUACGGGAGGCAGCAGUGGGGAAUAUUGGACAAUGGGCGCAAGCCUGAUCCAGCCAUGCCGCGUGAGUGAUGAAGGCCCUAGGGUUGUAAAGCUCUUUCACCGGUGAAGAUAAUGACGGUAACCGGAGAAGAAGCCCCGGCUAACUUCGUGCCAGCAGCCGCGGUAAUACGAAGGGGGCUAGCGUUGUUCGGAAUUACUGGGCAAAGCGCACGUAGGCGGAUACUUAAGUUAGGGGUGAAAUCCCAGGGCUCAACCCUGGAACUGCCUUUAAUACUGGGUAUCUUGAGUUCGAGAGAGGUGAGUGGAAUUCCGAGUGUAGAGGUGAAAUUCGUAGAUAUUCGGAGGAACACCAGUGGCGAAGGCGGCUCACUGGCUCGAUACUGACGCUGAGGUGCGAAAGCGUGGGGAGCAAACAGGAUUAGAUACCCUAGUAGUCC
rnacentral:rRNA from 1 species